GGUGCUGUGGCUUAGCUGGUCAAAGCGCCUGUCUUGUAAAUGGGAGAUCAUGGGCUCAAAUCCCAGCUGUGCCU
rnacentral:tRNA from 1 species